rnacentral:rRNA from 1 species
GGCCGCGGUAAACCGUGCAAAGGUAGCAUAAUCAUUUGCCCCUUAAUUAGGGGCUGGCAUGAAUGGAUUUAACGAGAAAAAAGCUGUCUCAAAAAGACCACUAAAAACUAUCCUCUAGGUGAAAAGACCUAGAUAACUAUAGAAGACAAGAAGACCCUAUCGCGCUUUAUCUCUAAACUGUCACAUCUGUCAGUUAAAGAUUUGGUUGGGGCGACCCAUGACACCCUAAAACGUCUACUUUAUAAAAGACACACACGUCUAACUAACUGACCCUACUAAGAUUAAAGAACAAGUCACCGUAGGGAUAACAGGCUAAUCCCCUCUUAGAGCCCUAAUCGACGAGGGGGGUUGGCACCUCGAUGUUGGCUUAGGGCAUCCCUUAGAUGUAGCCGUCUAAGAAGGCAGGUUUGUUCAACCUAUUCCGCCCUACGUGAUC